UGGGGAAUAUUGGACAAUGGGCGCAAGCCUGAUCCAGCCAUACCGCGUGGGUGAAGAAGGCCUUCGGGUUGUAAAGCCCUUUUGUUGGGAAAGAAAUCCAGCUGGCUAAUACCCGGUUGGGAUGACGGUACCCAAAGAAUAAGCACCGGCUAACUUCGUGCCAGCAGCCGCGGUAAUACGAAGGGUGCAAGCGUUACUCGGAAUUACUGGGCGUAAAGCGUGCGUAGGUGGUCGUUUAAGUCCGUUGUGAAAGCCCUGGGCUCAACCUGGGAACUGCAGUGGAUACUGGGCGACUAGAGUGUGGUAGAGGGUAGCGGAAUUCCUGGUGUAGCAGUGAAAUGCGUAGAGAUCAGGAGGAACAUCCAUGGCGAAGGCAGCUACCUGGACCAACACUGACACUGAGGCACGAAAGCGUGGGGAGCAAACAGGAUUAGAUACCCUGGUAGUCCACGCCCUAAACGAUGCGAACUGGAUGUUGGGUGCAAUUUGGCACGCAGUAUCGAAGCUAACGCGUUAAGUUCGCCGCCUGGGGAGUACGGUCGCAAGACUG
rnacentral:rRNA from 1 species